rnacentral:lncRNA from 1 species
GUUUGUGCUGCUCCGCCAAUAGGAGAAAGAGGGUGUGUUGUAUGCAAAUUAUCCCGGGGAGCCCAGCCCCUUAUCUAAGGCAGGCCACGCCCCCUUCCCUAGGUCCCUGCAGAAAUGGUGAGGAGGGUGAGAAAAAUAACUGGGAGCUAGAGCUCGCUAGCGGGUCUAAGACUGAGCUAAAAAUUUCCUGAUUUCUUGAGAAAGGUUGGGAAGGGAGGGGGAACUGAAACGUUCAUACCAUCAGGGCAGCGGUUAGGCUUUCUCUCAGCCACAAUCUUAGCUUAGCUGUAAGGAAGACUGCAGUCACGUAGCACUUUGCUUCCAGGGAUCUCAAAGAACUUUAUGCAUCAUUUAUCGUGACCCUUGUUUUACAAAAGACCAGUUACCUGAGGUUUGGGCGGGGGUUAGGGGAUAGAUGUUUGAGGUAUAUUUACACCAUUAAUCGAGUGAGGGGGAAAAAAGACAAAACCUCUGGUUUAGCGGUUUUCUCCUCGAUCUGAAGCCCCUUCUCGCAGUCAUCUCAGCAAUGAAACUUCCUUUAUUUGUCCAGCACGAGAGGGCCAAAGAAACAGGUUUAUCCUCUUCACCCAAAAGCCCUUUCUGAGACGGCUGGCCAGACACACACAGAGCACAGAGCCCUGCUUGGGAAGGAAGGUUCAGAGAACAAAUUGCCUUUUAAAACUGUUGGGCUGGACCUGCCUCUUCCAAAGCUAAAAAUGGUGAGUCAGGAUUUUGGCGUCCAUGCUCUGGGGAGAGAAGGCAGAUGUAAUUGGGGAAAGCUCUGGCUGGCAGGGUGUUGGGGUACAGGCGAGUUGGGGAGCCAGGUCUCCCAAGGGGGCCAGCAAUGCGCGUGCUAGUCGAUUGCGGGCUCCCGACGCGAGACACCCCAAAACCUGCUCCCCAGUGAGAACAAAGGCAGGCGCGGAGCGAGAACCUGAUUGGUGCCCGGUCCUCACCGGUGUCCUCCGGGCCCCGGAGAUAACUUGCUUCACCCACUGGCGCGGAGCUCCGUCUCACUGGAGCCCCAGCUCCCCACCCGGCCUUGGCUGUGACCACACAGGACUGUGCGUUAUGACAUCACCUGUUUUCGCUCUUUAGAACACGAUCAGUAUUCUCGGCUUCUCCUUUUUUAAAGGUCUCUAGUGCACAAGGAUUUGCGAAGGCCUGCCGUUCACAGAAUGAAUCUGUGGAGAUGAUUUAAAAGAACGACUUCUUUUUCUUUCUCUGGGGGCCACCCAAAGCCUUUGGAUUGCAGGCAUAUGUUUGUGGAGUGCUUACUGUGUGCCAGGCACUUGGCUAAUCACGGAGAUAAAGUGAUGAACUGCUUCAACAACAUCAUUCUACCCGGAUUCCAGAGUGAGAUCAGACUCAAGUCUGGCCACAUGGCACAAAUGGACAACCCAUACAUUUGGAGAGACUCCAAGAAAUCCAUCCGAAGCUCUGAAUGGUCCUGGCCCUGUUCCAAAAUUUUACUAACCUUCCACAAAUUGGGAUUCCAGACACGUUCUUACCUUGGCCUCCAGGAUAAUGGAAGCCACAAAAGAGACAGAAAUUAAAAUGUCAGCCCAGCUGGGCCCCACAAUGUGGGCCAGCAAUUACAGUGGAACCCACUGCCUCUUAGAUCACCUUAGUGCAGAACAUCUGUGUUUCCUGCAACAAAGAUAAUAAAAUAAUCCAGAGCCCUGUCUUACAUGUUCCUUAACUCUGCGUAAAUACAGUGCGCUACUUAACAAUAGCAACCAAGAUGUUAAUGCACAACAGGAAAAUGUUCAAAAUCAGGUGAAAAGCAGAGAUCAGAAUUCCAGCAAGCUUUGUAAUUCAGCCACCACCCUCAUCACUCAGGACCUAAAUAACCUGAAAUAUGUGAUCGAGGCUGGAGAGGCAAGUAAAACAUGGCUUUGUUAUUCUCUGCCUGAGAAGGGUAUCACCCAAACCUUCUCACUUACUAAAGAUUCUGACAGAUGAGUAGUAUGCCAUGUCCUUGCAGAUGGAGAAAAGAAUAUCCACAGCAAAGGUGACACCUUCGAGGUCAUACACUUUGUGGGAUCAUGACAGAAGUUCAAAACAUCAACUUGAAAAAGACAAGUGAAACUGAGGACCAAAGUUGGAAGUAUGGGUGACAGAAGGGAUUAAAUGGUGUGGGAAUGAAGACAUUGCCAAUCUCCUCACUUUCUCCUUUUUUAUUCUUGAUAGACCCCACCACUGACAGAAGCUGAAGUAAUCUGUUGUUUUCUGGGCUCUGAAGGUGCUGAUUUCAGUGUCUGUGAUGUUACAUCCGAGAGUCUUUGCUGGGUUUGAAACUGAGUGCUCCAAGCAAGUGGAUACCUUUUCUUCUUCUGCUAUCCCAGGGAAACACUGAGAUUAUUUCAGCAAAAAUAACGUUUCUGCCAAUCUGCAUCAUAACUCAGAGAGGCAGCUGGUCAAGUUAGCAAAGAAAACUGAUAUUUAGUCCUAAAGGAGCUUGGUUAAACUUUCGCUUUGUCUUUUUAUAUUUUGAUACAACAGUAUGGAGAUAGGUUAUCUUCUUACAGUAUUUGUCACCUGCUUUGUGAUUAUUUUUUUACUUGGAUGCCUUCUCCAUGAGAUUAUAUGCUUGAUAAGGACAGUUUUCCUCACCAUUGUAUCAUCAAUACAAUAAACAUUUUUGUUAAGAGAUGAAUAAAGAAAGUCAAUGCAGGGGGCCAGCCCAGUGGCAUAGUAGUUAAGUUUGUGCACUCUGCUUCCUCAGUCCAGGGUUUGUGGGUUCAGAUCCCAGGUAAGGACCUACACACCACUUAUCAAGCUGUGGUGGUGACCCACAUACAAAAGAGAGGAAGAUUAGCACAGACGUUAGGGCCAAUCUUCCUCACAAAUAAAUAAAUAAAAAGCUCCAUAUGAAGGGAGUGAUUAUGACUCUGUUCAUUCAUUCAAUAAAUAUUUAUUGAGCACCUACAAUAUACAGGCACAUCUUCUUUCCAGGCUUUAUGUUUAGACCAUUUUUUGAACUGUUUCUCAUGUCAUGGGAAUUCUGGACAAAUGCUGGUGUUCCUUCCUUAGAAGGACUCCACUGUGUUGAGGCGUCCCCCUUAAAAUACAGCUUCCAGAGCAGAGCAUGAUAACAUCCAUUCAUUAGUGUUACACAUUCUUGAAGUGCCAGCCAUGUGCCAGGCAUGAAGGUAACAGCGAUGAAUCAGAUACAGUUUUGUGCUCAGAGGACUCACUGCCCAGAAGGAGGAGGUUGCCCAGUAAACAAGAUAGUACAGCACAGGAAGCGACAGCAGAACCCGAAUGAUGGAAUGGCCAAUUCUCCUUGGAGAGGGGAAUCUGGAAAUGCUUCCCACACAGGGGAGGUGAAUCAGGAUAAGAGUGUGGACUUCUGACAGGUGGAUGGAGCUGGGAGAGGGUAUUCCAGAAAGAGUCAGCUGCCUGAGCAAAUGCAGGGAGGAAUGAAAUAGCCUAGUGAGUUCAAGGAACUGCAACGGCUUUGACAGGGCAGGAAUGUGGGUUGUGAGAUGGGGGUACAAAAGAGGUAUGACCAGAAAGUUAGGCAGGGUAGAGCUUUGAAUGCCAAACUGAGAAGCUUGGAUUUUUUUCCUACAAGGUGAUAAGGAGUCUCUAAUGUUUCUAGAGAAGGGAGAUAACACGAUUAGGUUUACAUUGUAGAAAGACACUUUGAAGGUGUGUGGCCUGGGGGCUGGACCUCUAGGAAACUGAGUCAGGGAGACCAGCUGAGAGACCAGAUCAUCUGGGUGAGAGAUGCAAUGGGAUUCCAUGUGGGCAAUAGCUGUGAGGAUGGAAAGAAGGGGAUGGUCUAAGGCAGUGAAGACUCAUGGGCAGGCUGUGCUGCAGGACUUGGCUACUCAAAGUGGG